CAACAGCGUAUAUUAAAGUUGUUGCAGUUAAAACGCUCGUAGUCGGAUUUCGGGGCGGGCGGGCCGGUCUGCCGAUGGGUAUGCACUGGUCUGGCCGUCCUUCCUUCCGGAGACCGUGCGUGCUCUUAACUGAGUGCGCUCGGGAGACGGAUCGUUUACUUUGAAAAAAUCAGAGUGUUUCAAGCAGGCAGCUCGCUCUUGCAUGGAUUAGCAUGGGAUAAUGAAAUAGGACUUUGGUGCUAUUUUGUUGGUUUCGAACACCGAAGUAAUGAUUAACAGGGACAGUCAGGGGCACUCGUAUUCCGCCGAGGGAGGUGAAAUUCUCAGACCAGCGGAAGACGAACCACUGCGAAAGCAUUUGCCAGGGAUGUUUUCACUGA
rnacentral:rRNA from 1 species